rnacentral:misc_RNA from 1 species
GAUGAAGAACGCAGUGAAAUGCGAUACGUAGUGUGAAUUGCAGAAUUCAGUGAAUCAUCGAAUCUUUGAACGCACAUUGCACCUCUCGGUAUUCCGGGAGGUAUGCCUGUUCGAGCGUCAUUUGUACCCUCAAGCUCUGCUUGGUGUUGGGUGUUUGUUCCGCCUCUGUGUGUGAACUCGCCUCAAAACAAUUGGCAGCCGGCGUACUUGUUUCGGAGCGCAGCACAUUUUGCGAUCCAGAUCAACGUACAGCGGCAUCCAAGAAGCCUUAUUUAACGCUCUUGACCUCGGAUCAGGUAGGGAUACCCGCUGAACUUAAGCAUAUCAAUAAGGGAGGA